GGCCGCGGGAAUUCGAUUUCUGGUUGAUCCUGCCAGACCUGACUGCUAUCGGAUUGGUACUAAGCCAUGCGAGUCAUUGUAGCAAUACAAGGCGGACGGCUCAGUAACACGUAGUCAACCUAACUCGUGGACGUGGAUAACCUCGGGAAACUGAGAAUAAACCACGAUAGAUCAUAGUGCCUGGAAUGGCUUAUGGUCCAAACAGUUUACUGCCAUGGGAUGGGACUGCGGCCUAUCAGCUCGUUGGUGAGGUAAUGGCCCACCAAGGCGAUUACAGGUACGGGCUCUGAGAGGAGAAGCCCGGAGAUGGGUACUGAGACACGGACCCAGGCCCUAUGGGGCGCAGCAGGCGAGAAACCUUAGCAAUGUGCGAAAGCACGACUGGGUCAGUCCGAGUGAUUCCUGAUAAAGGAGUCUUUUGCUUGUCCUAAAAGCACAGGUGAAUAAGGGGUGGGCAAGUCUGGUGUCAGCCGCCGCGGUAAUACCAGCACCUCGAGUGGUCAGGACGUUUAUUGGGCCUAAAGCAUCCGUAGCCGGCUUUGCAAGUCUUCGGUUAAAUCCACCUGCUCAACAGAUGGGCCGCUGGAGAUACUACAGAGCUAGGGAGUGGGAGAGGCAGACGGUAUUCAGUGGGUAGGGGUAAAAUCCUCUGAUCCAUUGAGGACCACCAGUGGCGAAGGCGGUCUGCCAGAACACGUUCGACGGUGAGGGAUGAAAGCUGGGGGAGCAAACCGGAUUAGAUACCCGGGUAGUCCCAGCUGUAAACGAUGCAAACUCGGUGAUGCAUAGGCAUAUGGCCAAUGCAGAGCCGCAGGGAAGCCGUUAAGUUUGCCGCCUGGGAAGUACGGACGCAAGUCUGAAACUUAAAGGAAUUGGCGGGGGAGCACCACAAGGGGUGAAGCCUGCGGUUCAAUUGGAUUCAACGCCGGAAAUCACUAGUGAAUUC
rnacentral:rRNA from 1 species